rnacentral:miRNA from 13 species
UUCAUCACAUGUGACCUCACUU